AUUGAACGCUGGCGGCAGGCCUAACACAUGCAAGUCGAGCGGAUGAAGGGAGCUUGCUCCUGGAUUCAGCGGCGGACGGGUGAGUAAUGCCUAGGAAUCUGCCUGGUAGUGGGGGAUAACGUCCGGAAACGGGCGCUAAUAUCGCAUACGUCCUGAGGGAGAAAGUGGGGGAUCUUCGGACCUCACGCUAUCAGAUGAGCCUAGGUCGGAUUAGCUAGUUGGUGGGGUAAAGGCCUACCAAGGCGACGAUCCGUAAUUGGUCUGAGAGGAUGAUCAGUCACACUGGAACUGAGACACGGUCCAGACUCCUACGGGAGGCAGCAGUGGGGAAUAUUGGACAAGGGGCGAAAGCCUGAUCCAGCCAUGCCGCGUGUGUGAAGAAGGUCUUCGGAUUGUAGAGCACUUUAAGUUGGGAGGAAGGGCAGUAAGUUAAUACCUUGCUGUUUUGACGUUACCAACAGAAUAAGCACCGGCUAACUUCGUG
rnacentral:rRNA from 1 species